UACGUAGGGUGCGAGCGUUAAUCGGAAUUACUGGGCGUAAAGCGUGCGCAGGCGGUUUUGUAAGUCAGAUGUGAAAUCCCCGGGCUCAACCUGGGAACUGCGUUUGAAACUACAAGGCUAGAGUGUAGCAGAGGGGGGGUAGAAUUCCACGUGUAGCAGUGAAAUGCGUAGAGAUGUGGAGGAAUACCAAUGGCGGAGGCAGCCCCCUGGGUUAACACUGACGCUCAUGCACGAAAGCGUGGGGAGCAAACAGG
rnacentral:rRNA from 1 species